rnacentral:rRNA from 1 species
UACGAAGGGUGCAAGCGUUACUCGGAAUUACUGGGCGUAAAGCGUGCAUAGGCGGUUUGUUAAGUCCGUUGUGAAAGCCCUGGGCUCAACCUGGGAAUUGCAGUGGAUACUGGCGAGCUAGAGUGCGGUAGAGGAUGGUGGAAUUCCCGGUGUAGCGGUGAAAUGCGUAGAGAUCGGGAGGAACACCCGUGGCGAAGGCGGCCAUCUGGACCAGCACUGACGCUGAGGCACGAAAGCGUGGGGAGCAAACAGG